rnacentral:rRNA from 1 species
CCCUUAGAUGUCCUGGGCAGCACGCGCGCUACAAUGGUCUUCGCAAACGGAUGCAUUCUCGAAGGAGAAUGCCAAUCUUGGAAUCUAUGCCUUGGUCGGGACAGUUGCUUGCAAUUUUUCGACUCGAACCAGGAAUUCCUUGUAAUCGUGACUCAUCACAUCACGAUGAAUACGUCCCUGCCCUUUGUACACACCGCCCGUCGCUCCUACCGAUCGAAGAGUUAGGUGAAUUGUUUUGAUCGAUAAGAUUUGACUAUGGUCAACUCUCGUUGUGAAAUUCUGUGAAUCUGACUGUUUAGAGGAAGGAAAAGUCGUAACA